AGUGAACGCUGGCGGUAUGCCUAACACAUGCAAGUCGAACGGCAGCACAGUAAGAGCUUGCUCUUACGGGUGGCGAGUGGCGGACGGGUGAGGAAUACAUCGGAAUCUACUUUUUCGUGGGGGAUAACGUAGGGAAACUUACGCUAAUACCGCAUACGACCUACGGGUGAAAGCAGGGGAUCUUCGGACCUUGCGCGAUUGAAUGAGCCGAUGUGGGAUUAGCUAGUUGGCGGGGUAAAGGCCCACCAAGGCGACGAUCCGUAGCUGGUCUGAGAGGAUGAUAAGCCACACUGGAACUGAGACACGGUCCAGACUCCUACGGGAGGCAGCAGUGGGGAAUAUUGGACAAUGGGCGCAAGCCUGAUCCAGCCAUACCGCGUGGGUGAAGAAGGCCUUCGGGUUGUAAAGACCUUUUGUUGGGAAAGAAAAGCAGCAGGUUAAUACCCCGCUGUUCUGACGGUACCCAAAGAAUAAGCACCGGCUAACUUCGUG
rnacentral:rRNA from 1 species